AGCGACUUAUAUUCUGUAGCAAGGUUAACCGUAUAGGGGAGCCGGAGGGAAACCGAGUCUUAACCGGGCGUUAAGUUGCAGGGUAUAGACCCGAAACCCGGUGAUCUAGCCAUGGGCAGGUUGAAGGUUGGGUAACACUAACUGGAGGACCGAACCGACUAAUGUUGAAAAAUUAGCGGAUGACCUGUGGCUGGGGGUGAAAGGCCAAUCAAACCGGGAGAUAGCUGGUUCUCCCCGAAAGCUAUUUAGGUAGCGCCUCGUGAAUUCAUCUCCGGGGGUAGAGCACUGUUUCGGCUAGGGGGCCAUCCCGGCUUACCAACCCGAUGCAAACUGCGAAUACCGGAGAAUGUUAUCACGGGAGACACACGGCGGGUGCUAACGUCCGUCGUGAAGAGGGAAACAACCCAGACCGCCAGCUAAGGUCCCAAAGUCAUGGUUAAGUGGGAAACGAUGUGGGAAGGCCCAGACAGCCAGGAUGUUGGCUUAGAAGCAGCCAUCAUUUAAAGAAAGCGUAAUAGCUCACUGGUCGAGUCGGCCUGCGCGGAAGAUGUAACGGGGCUAAACCAUGCACCGAAGCUGCGGCAGCGACGCUGAUGCGUUGUUGGGUAGGGGAGCGUUCUGUAAGCCUGCGAAGGUGGCCUGUGAGGGUUGCUGGAGGUAUCAGAAGUGCGAAUGCUGACAUAAGUAACGAUAAAGCGGGUGAAAAGCCCGCUCGCCGGAAGACCAAGGGUUCCUGUCCAACGUUAAUCGGGGCAGGGUGAGUCGACCCCUAAGGCGAGGCCGAAAGGCGUAGUCGAUGGGAAACGGGUUAAUAUUCCCGUACUUGGUGUUACUGCGAAGGGGGGACGGAGAAGGCUAUGUUGGCCGGGCGACGGUUGUCCCGGUUUAAGCGUGUAGGUGUGUGUUCCAGGUAAAUCCGGUUCACUUUAACACUGAGGCGUG
rnacentral:rRNA from 1 species